CUUGCUGCUUUCCCACCUUGGGGCUCUGGUCAUCAAUUUCCUUCAGCUCAGGUUUUUCAGCUGCUGCUGUUUUGAUUGACAUCUGUCAGUCGACACAACCUGUCAUACACAACCAGAUGACACGGCUGGAUGCAACAAGCAGAGCUGCUGUCUGCUCAGAGCCAACCCUCAGGACUUCCCAAGUGUUCGCUGUCUUGGUAUCUGCUCCACUCUCCGUCAAGGACAUCCAGCUUCCUCACAGAGGCCAGCACAGGCUCCAGGUAGCGGCUGAGCAGAAAAAGCCUAGAAGGCUCCAUAGUUUGCAGAGCCCAUAACUUACCAAGAAAAUAAACCCGUGAGCAGGUACCUGUGAUCCUCAACGACAAUGAAGGACUUUGUAGGGUGGGACUCCUUGGGCUGAGGCCGUGUGGAUCUCCUUCCCACCAAGCUGUUUUCCCAAACUCUCAGUACGGAAAGUGAAAGGAAGGGCGCUGACUGGGCAGGCCGGGGUGAGCCGCCAUGGAAAC
rnacentral:lncRNA from 1 species